rnacentral:rRNA from 1 species
UACGUAGGGAGCAAGCGUUGUCCGGAAUCAUUGGGCGUAAAGCGCGCGUAGGCGGCCCUGUAAGUCCGUUGUGAAAGUCAAAGGCUCAACCUUUGAAAGCCGAUGGAUACUGCAGGGCUAGAGUCCGGAAGAGGCGAAGUGGAAUUCCUGGUGGUAGCGGUGGAAUGCGCAGAUAUCAGGAGGAACACCAAUAGCGAAGGCAGCUCGCUGGGACGGUACUGACGCUAAGGCGCGAAAGCGUGGGGAGCAAACAGG